rnacentral:rRNA from 1 species
GAUGAACGCUAGCGACAGGCUUAACACAUGCAAGUCGAGGGGCAGCGGUGGUGAAGGCUUGCCUUUACCAGCCGGCGACCGGCGCACGGGUGAGUAACACGUAUGCAACCUGCCUGCCACAGCCGGAUAAUCGGGAGAAAUUCCGUCUAAUACGGCAUAAUGCAUCGACGGGACAUCCUGUUGGUGCCAAAGGUUGAUUCCGGUGGCGGAUGGGCAUGCGUCGCAUUAGUUAGUUGGCGGUGUAACGGACCACCAAGACGACGAUGCGUAGGGGUUCUGAGAGGAAGGUCCCCCACACUGGUACUGAGACACGGACCAGACUCCUACGGGAGGCAGCAGUGAGGAAUAUUGGUCAAUGGGCGGGAGCCUGAACCAGCCAAGUCGCGUGAGGGAUGACGGCCCUAUGGGUUGUAAACCUCUUUUGCCGGGGAGCAAAGUGCCGCACGUGUGCGGUUUGGAGAGUACCCGGAGAAAAAGCAUCGGCUAACUCCGUGCCAGCAGCCGCGGUAAUACGGAGGAUGCGAGCGUUAUCCGGAUUUAUUGGGUUUAAAGGGUGCGUAGGCGGACGCUUAAGUCAGCGGUAAAAUUGCGGGGCUCAACCUCGUCGAGCCGUUGAAACUGGGUGCCUUGAGUGGGCGAGAAGUACGCGGAAUGCGUGGUGUAGCGGUGAAAUGCAUAGAUAUCACGCAGAACUCCGAUUGCGAAGGCAGCGUACCGGCGCCCAACUGACGCUGAAGCACGAAGGCGUGGGUAUCGAACAGGAUUAGAUACCCUGGUAGUCCACGCAGUAAACGAUGAAUGCUAGUUGUCCGGGGCGAUUGAGUUCUGGGUGACACAGCGAAAGCGUUAAGCAUUCCACCUGGGGAGUACGCCGGCAACGGUGAAACUCAAAGGAAUUGACGGGGGCCCGCACAAGCGGAGGAACAUGUGGUUUAAUUCGAUGAUACGCGAGGAACCUUACCCGGGCUCAAACGCAGGAGGGAUGUUUUUGAAAGGAGGCAGCCAGCAAUGGUCUCCUGCGAGGUGCUGCAUGGUUGUCGUCAGCUCGUGCCGUGAGGUGUCGGCUUAAGUGCCAUAACGAGCGCAACCCCUACCUACAGUUGCCAUCGCGUGAUGGCGGGCACUCUGUGGGGACUGCCUGCGCAAGCAGUGAGGAAGGCGGGGAUGACGUCAAAUCAGCACGGCCCUUACGUCCGGGGCGACACACGUGUUACAAUGGCAGGUACAGCGGGAAGCCACCCGGCGACGGGGCGCGGAACCCGAAAACCUGUCUCAGUUCGGAUUGGAGUCUGCAACCCGACUCCAUGAAGCUGGAUUCGCUAGUAAUCGCGCAUCAGCCACGGCGCGGUGAAUACGUUCCCGGGCCUUGUACACACCGCCCGUCAAGCCAUGGAAGCCGGGGGUGCCUGAAGUGCGUGACCGCAAGGAGCGCCCUAGGGUAAAACCGGUGACUGGGGCUAAGUCGUAACAAGGUAGCCGUACCGGAAGGUGCGGCUGGAACACCUCCUUUCUGGAGCGCAUGUCCUGCCAUGACCUCUUACGACGCCGUCAGGAAGCCUGAAAGCGCGAGUUUUCCGGAUUCCGGCAGACAAUCGGCGGUCGAACGACAGAGAGAUGACUUCUGAUGUCUUUCACGAUAUGCAUGAUGUCAUCGACGGUUCUUCGGCGGAUGUUUUUCCGCCGGCUGCUUCGGCUGUUGCUUUUUAUAACGCAUUAUCCCCGGCAUCGGGGGUUGAAGUGCAGUCCCUUAGCUCAGUUGGUUAGAGCGCUACACUGAUAAUGUAGAGGUCGGCAGUUCAACUCUGCCAGGGACUACGAUUCCGGAGCCUUGAUGCUUCGGGAGAGUAAACAAAGAGAACAUUGACAUACUGGAAGCGAAAGUCAUUGAUGACGCAAGUCAGAGAUGGCAAGCAAUUGACAAUAGAAACGAGUGAAAUCAUCGGGCGAAUGUGCUUUAUGAGCACGACGAACGACGGAUAUCUGACGUAGAGUCAAAAGGCGAAGUAAAAGGAAAGGAGAGAAGGGCACAUGAAGGAUGCCUUGGCUCUCGGAGGCGACGAAGGACGUGACAAGCUGCGAUAAGCUGCGGUUGGAGGCAAAUACUCAUCAAGCCGCAGAUCUCCGAAUGGGGCAACCCGGCGCGCGAAGAGUGCGUCACCGGUCUGUGACCGGAGCGAACCCGGGGAACUGAAACAUCUCAGUACCCGGAGGAAGAGAAAACAAUAGUGAUUGCGCAAGUAGUGGCGAGCGAACGCGCAAUAGCCCAAACCGCCGGCGUGGCAACGCGUCUGGCGGGGUUGUAGGACCGCCGGUAAAGUGAUGGAAUACGGUUAGCCGAACACGCUGGAAAGCGUGGCCAUAGCGGGUGACAGCCCCUUAGGCGAAAACUGUGAUUCCGGGCGAGGCGGCACCUGAGUAGCGCGGGACACGAGAAAUCCUGUGUGAAUCUGCGGGGCCCAUCCCGUAAGGCUAAAUACUACCGAGAGACCGAUAGCGAACC